UUCUAUGGCCAUGCCACCCUGAACAUGCUCGAUCCCAUCUGAUCUUGGAAGCUAAGCAGGGUUGGGCCUGGUUAGUACUUGGAUGGGAGACUGUCUAGGAAGACCGGGUGCUGUAGGCG
rfam:Pteropus alecto contig162477, whole genome shotgun sequence.